GGGGUGCACCAGGCGCGAAAACUUUACAAUGCUGGCAACAGCGAUAAGGGGACCUCGAGUGCCAGGAUACAAUCUUGGCUGUCGCGAUGCCUAAAAAGCAUUGCAUAGCAAGGGCCGGGCAAGACCGGUGCCAGCCGCCGCGGUAACACCGGCGGCUCGAGUGGUAACCGCUAUUAUUGGGUCUAAAGGGUCUGUAGCCGGCCGGAUAAGUCUUUUGGGAAAUCCAGCUGCUCAACAGUUGGGCUUUCAGAAGAUACUGUUCGGCUCGAGACCGGGAGAGGUGAGAGGUACUUCAGGGGUAGGGGUGAAAUCUUGUAAUCCUUGAAGGACCACCAGUGGCGAAGGCGUCUCACCAGAACGGAUCUGACGGCAAGGGACGAAAGCUAGGGGCACGAACCGGAUUAGAUACCCGGGUAGUCCUAGCCGUAAACGAUACUCGCUAGGUGUCAGCCACGGUGCGACCGUGGUUGGUGCCGUAGGGAAGCCGUGAAGCGAGCCACCUGGGAAGUACGGCCGCAAGGCUGAAACUUAAAGGAAUUGGCGGGGGAGCAC
rnacentral:rRNA from 1 species